UAGUGAAGGCCGGGCCAU
rnacentral:misc_RNA from 1 species